CUGCACCAUGGAGUCCCUGUCCCAGCUUCUCUGUGGGCUCCUGAUGCUCCUGGUCCCAGGUUCCAGGGGAGAAAUUGUGCUGACUCAGUCUCCAGCCUCAGUGUCUGUGACCCCAGGAGAGAGAGUCACCAUCAGCUGCAAGGCCAGUCAGAGUCUCAAACACAGUGAUGGAAACACUUAUCUCAGCUGGUUCCAACAGAAACCUGGGCAGUCUCCUCGGGGCCUCAUAUACUAUGUUUCCACCCUGUACUCAGGAGUCCCGGCCAGGUUCAGUGGCAGUGGGGCUGAGAAGGACUUCACCCUCACCAUCAGCAGUGUGGAGGCUGAAGAUGGGGCCUCUUAUUACUGUUUUCAAGAAUCUUUUUCUCCUCCCACAGUGCUACAGCCCCGAACAAAAACCUCCCCAGCCCAGGCUGGCUGCUCAGGGAGGCUCAGCUGUCUCCUCUGCUUCUGCUCCUGCAGCAACUGCUGGGCUGCCUGCUCAGGUCUGCGUCUCAUGGGGCUGGGCCGGCCAGGCCUCCAGGUACGCCGUCCCGGGAGCGCGGAGGCUCCCCAGGAGUCCAGGGUCACAGUCGCCUUCAGGACUGCUGCUGCUGCUGCGCGGGGAUCCCCGCCGUCAGGGUCGGGCCGCCUAGGCUUUCCUCGGUGA